rnacentral:lncRNA from 1 species
UCUCUACACCUAGUGCCCUAAAGCCAUCUGGUUUGGGAGUCAUUGGUCCAACGCUCGCUCUACAUGGGUAACUCUGAAAAGCCUAAGAAAAUGAGACAUUGCACAAGUCAAGAAUCAAAAUUGAAAAAAAANNNNNNNNNNNNNNNNNNNNNNNNNNNNNNNNNNNNNNNNNNNNNNNNNNNNNNNNNNNNNNNNNNNNNNNNNNNNNNNNNNNNNNNNNNNNNNNNNNNNUUGGGGUUUAAAGGCUUGUUGCACAUGCUAAGUGCAAUCGUGUUUCCUACGAAAAUGUGGUAGUGUAAUUUUUGUAUUAUUUUAUUUUUAUUUUACUCGAGGACGAGCAAAAGCUAGGUAUAGGGGUAUUUGAUAGACACGUAAUUCAUACAUUUAAUUAUCCCUAAUUUUGUCCUUUUAAUUAUAUUAGUUUAUUAAAUUAAUAUGUUUUAUUUUAUUUUGUAGGAUUUAAUAUUUUUUGCAAUAAAGUCAAAAUCUUGGUGAUCAAGCGAUAUUUAAUGCUCUUAUUCAUAUAAGGAAUAUCCAAGAAGAAUCCAACAAGGAGAAGGAAAGAGGUUCAACAAUCUUAGUGUGCAAGUCAAAUCCAACAAGAGAAAGGAAAGUCAAUCUAGAAGAUCUCUUUAUCUAGAAGAUCUUUUUGAUAAGUUGAUUGACACUAGGAAAUUAAAACUUACAUGGAAAGGGAACAAAAGUGUCCAAGUUCAAUGAAUCUAAAUUAGGGUUUAAAGUUUUUUUCUCUAUAAAUAGGUCUCUUGUUUUAGAGAGAAAGAUAUGAUGUAUUGUAUUACUUUAGAUUAGGAGUAGGAGUAAAUUAAAUUACGUUUCAUUGUACGCUUGUUGGAGGAUCAUGAAUAAAUGGAGUUAAUUUUCUUAUUUAUUUUCAAUCUUCUACUUCUUCUUUAUUUUAGUUAAUUUAUUUAUUUUCAUGUCUAGUUAAUUUUUUUUAAUCUAGGAUGAAGAUGAAAUUAAAUAAUUAUUCGUAAUAAUAUUUUUUAUCUCUUCUAUUAUUUAUGCUUUUGUGUUUAAUUGAUUUCGCCUUCAUAUUUCGUUAUUGAAAUACCUUUGUUUUAUUGUUGUUAUGUGAUUUUAAAUUAAUUAAGAGGUUUUGAUAGAUUACUGUUAAGAUAUGAGUUUUUCAUAAUCCAUGCUUGCUCAAAGAAGUGUUGAUGGGUUAUAGUUAAUCCUUAAAUUUUCAUAGUCUAUGUUUGCCCACAUUAAUUGUAAAUUACUAAAUUAAAGGGAAGAGAGAUCAAAAUUAUAAUUUGAGUUAUAAAAACAGAAGAGAUUGAAUUAUAUGUUAUGUUUGUUAUUUAGUGGAUUCAGAUUCCUAGAUUUUUUUCUCAUUAAUUAUUUUCAUAUUCUAGUUAAUUAAUUCUCAAUCUUUAUUUUUAAUUCGCCUAAAAUAAAUAUUAAGGAAACAUUAAAAUUAAUCUAAUCUCUGUGGGUUCGACAUGUACUUGUCAGUUCUUCAAUUUGACACUGUGCACUUUCAGUACAAAAUUUAUCACAUCAGACACCUAAAAGUAUAUAAGUUUAUAUUAAAUAUGUUACAAAGACUAAUUUAUUUUCAAAAUAGGGGUUCACUAAUUAAGAAAUAAAAAUACUCAAAUGAGCGGAAUGACCUCUCAAGUAUAUUGAGCAAUUUUAAUUGAGUGACGUAGAGUAUGUGGGUCGUUGGGUCUGCACAUGAAUGAUAUUUGCUCUUAUACCAUAUUGAAAUAUCCAACUCAAAAUCAAUUGAUAAUGAGUGCAGUAGCCUCUCAAAUUAUAUAUUAAGUCUCUAUUUCUUAGUUGUCCCAUGUGAGAUUUUAUAUAUAUACAGUUGCUGAAGGUCUUUAAAAAUUAGAAGAUGACUAAUCUAGCUGUCCAUAAUACUUUUGAUUUUUUUUUAUUUAUUUAAAGAUGGAGUGAGUAUAUUAUAUGGAUUAUUUGCAAUUUUCGGGUAAUAGGUACGAACUCCGAGUGGGUAAUCCAAGUCAAUUCUAGCUGACCUAAUACUUACCUAAUAUUACAACAAAAUUGCAUAUAAAAUCGACUAAGUCAACUUUGAAAUAUAUAUUUUUUUGAAUAACUUUGAAAUAAAAUUGAAUUAGACCAAUUAAUAGAUCAGAUAUUUGAUUAAUGGACAAUAUAUUUGCUAAGUUAGGGAGGUAAUAUAAAUUGACCGCUUAAUAUAUAGGGAUAACUGUGCAUGCCCAUAUAUAAUUGUAAUAGUUGUCCCAAAUCACUUGACAAAAAAAUAAAAUAUGCUACUAUAAUUUAUUUUUAUUUAAGUUGGAAUUAAGUAUCAGUACCUUGAUUGAUCAAGAACAGAUAUGACUGCAGUUGUUUGGGCAAGAGCAAAUUUCUUUGUAUUCUAUAAAUUUAAUUUAAACUCGUAAACUCUGUUUUACUCAAAUCAUGAUUAAGAUGAAUAAAUGCGAAGGAUGAAAAGUUGAUAAAAAUACACAGGCUAAAAAAUAUUUCUUUGCACCAAAUUAAAGGACUGUUUUGCUUCUUUUUCUUUUUCUUUAUUUGGUCAAAAUUAAGUGCCAAUUAAAAUAUCCAAAUUUUAAUGGUAAAGGUCUUCCAAAAAAGAGUCAGUCAUACUAAUCAAACAAAGUCUACUCGUUAAUCAUUCAUUAAAUUUUCGAUUACACUACAACUUUAUUACAAUGAAAAUCACCCAGUGAAGAAAAUCACCUACUCCCACUACCCUAAAACCAUAAAAAAAAAAUCUCAAAACAAGAUGUAUCAUCAAUGCAAAUAAGAAUAAAUAUCUACUCGAGUCUCGAGAUAUUUAUGGGAAAAUUCUUCAAGGCCCAUUUUGAAAUUUUCAGGCUAGAACUCCUUUGAAGAUACUGGGAUUCAUUUAUCCCAUCAUAUGCAGUAUUAGACUCUUCGGAUAGUGAGUUUAGGGUACGGUAGUGAUUGAUUAUAACUUUCGUCAUGUACUGAAUGAUUUGAAUGACUAUGCUCGGAGGGUGAAAAAAUUUGUUUUGCUAAUAGAGACUUUUCUUUAGGGCGUAUUUGAGACAAUAGUGAUUGAGAAAAACUUUGGUUAUGUACUAAAUGAUUUGAUUGACUAUACUCGCAGGAUGAAAAAUUUUGUUUUGCUAAUAGAGACUUUUCCUUGGGGCGUAUUUGAGAUAGUAAUGAUUCAGAAGAACUUUCGUUAUGUACUAAAUGAUUAGAUUGACUAUGUUUGUAGGGUGAAACAAUUUGCUUUGCUAAUAGAGACUUUUCCUCAAGACGUAUUUGAGAUAGUAUUGAUUGAGCAGAACUUUUGUUAUGUACUAGAUGAUUUGAUUGACUAUCGGAGGUUGAAAAAAUUUGCUUUGCUGAUAUAGACUUUUCCUUAGGACGUAUUUGAGACAGUAGUGAUUCAGAAGAAUUUUCGUCGGAGGGUGAAAAAAUUUGCUUUGCUAAUAGAGACUUUUCCUUGGGGCGUAUUUGAUACCGUAGUGACUGAGAAGAACUUUCGUUAUGUACUGGAUGAUUUGAUUGACUAUGCUCAGAGGGUGAAAAAAUUUGCUUUGCUGAUUGAGACUUUUCCUUGGGGCGUAUUUGAGACAGUAGCGAUUCAGAAGAACUUUCCUUAUGUAAUGGAUGAUUUGAUUGACUAUGCUCGGAGGUUGAAAAAAUUUGCUUUGCUAAUAGAGACUUUUCCUCGAGAUGUAUUUGAGACACUAUUGAUUGAGCAGAACUUUUAUAAUUAUGUACAAGAUGAUUUGAUUGAUUAUGCUCGGAGGGUAAAAAACUUUGCUUUGCUAAUAGAGACUUUUCCUUAGGGCGUAUUUGAGGCAUUAGUGAUUGAGAAAAACUUUCGUUAUUUGCUGGAUGAUUUGAUUGACUAUGCUCAGAGGAUGAAAAAAAUUGAUUUGCUAAUAGAGACUUUACCCAAUGACGUAUUUUAGACGGUGGUGAUCCGCGAGAACUUCGAAUUUGUGCCAAAGAAUUUGGUUGACUACGUUCGGAAUGUGGUAUAACUCCAAAUGCUGAAUUCUCCAUCAAUUUGGAUUGCGCUUUUCUAGACAACGGCUUCUGAGAAUUUGAUCAAACAAAAGAGUGCAAAAACUUAGCUUUUUUUUUAUUUUUUGCAAAAGGUUAAGAAUGAUAUAUUGCUAAAAAUUUAUUCCAUAAUCUACAUGAUAGUGAAAUAAUGUUAACUAAACUAAAUUAAUUCUAAAAUAUUCGUGAAUUAAUUUAAAUACAUGAAUAUGUAAUGUCUAAAUACAUGAUACAUGUAUGUACAUGAAUGUAUUUGAAAUAUCUUGGAACAUGUAAUGAUUAGGUUUAUGUACAUGAAUAUGGACAUGUAAUAAUUAUUAUGGUAACUCUAGAAGUAUCCUAUGAGUUUUAUAAAUAGUUUGUACUUAGAUCAUUUUUAAGCAAGUGAAAUCAAUAUAUUCUUAAGUGUUCUCCAAAGUUAGAUUUCAUUUCUUCUAUAAUUUAUCAUCUUCCAUAAAUUUCUAACAAGUGGUAUCAGAGCUAAGGUUAACUUCAUAGUUUAGAGAAGGUUAAGCCAAAGUGAAAUAAAGAUAGAUGACCCAAAAGAGGUUAUUUGUUGCUAUCAAAGUGUUCCGCUGGGCAAGUGCAAAGUGUGCGCUUUAGAGCUACGGAAGGCAAUCUAGCAUAGGUGCUUAGUUGAGAAAAUUUUGAAGAAGAAAUUUGUGAGUUGAAACACGUCACAAAGAUUGUCAUAUGGUUAGCGUUUUGGAGAGGUAAAUUAUAGAAAAAUGAUGUUUCUUAGGUUUGGUGCCUAAUUAGUGUUCAUAAAUUACAAUGUUUGGAGUAUAAGGAUUUGAGUAUUUCUUGGAGAAUGCAAUUUAUGGCAUGAUGUCAUUGCAAAUCCAGAAAAGUGUAUUUCAAAAUGAGUUCGAGAAAUGAAAGAAAAAAGAACAAGGGAAAUUUUGCAAGGAGUAAUGCAUGAAGAAGUUUGGAUGCAUGUUGAUUCUCGACCUCAGUUAUGGAAUGAACUUGAAUUUGUUUGCAAUAAUUAUAAAGGUCCAUUGUUACCUAAAGAGUUGGUUUUUAGAAGAAGAUGAGACACUUGUAGAAAAAAUUGAUGAAAUUGAAGAAGAAGAAGAAAACUAAAAAUGAAUUUUUUGAAGAUAUCUUGAAAGAGGAAGACAAAAAGAUUUGUGUUGAUAAAAUUAUUAUGAAAGUUAAAGAUAAAAAAUGAGAAAUUGAAGAGACGCCAAGUGAAGAGGUAAAAGAAUAAGAAAAAGAAAAUGUUGAAGAAAUUGAGAAAAUAGAAGAAGAGAUUGUUGAUGAAAAGAAAGAAUUUGAAAAUUUGACGGACUCAACGAUUGUGUCUGGAGAUGAUGAAGGUUGUAUUAAGGUUUGGGAUACAAAACAACGUUCAUGCUGCAAUUCGUUUAGUAUUCACGAAGAAUAUAUUUCAGAUAUGACUUUUGCAUCUGAUUCCAUGAAAUUGUUGGCAACAAAUAAAGAUUACACAUUGUCAACUGAAUACAUGAAAGCUGAUAAUAAAAUAACAUACUCAUACCAUGAUUUAAAGAUACAAUGCUCAUAAUAAGCUAAUCCAAAGAUAAGAAGCAUUCUUCAUAACUUGAGAAAGUACCUUGUUUUAGCAAAACUUCAAAAAACUCUCAACACCUCAGCUGUUGCGAUUCAUUCUUCAUGCAGCUGCUAUUGCUUUAUACAAAUGUUGCAAUUCUUUCUUUAUACUAUCAAGUUUAUUAAACCACAUACCUAAAAAAGCUAAUUAAAUACACUCAG